CUUUCCUAACGGGUGGGCAAGGCUGCAAGAGGCCUAUAUAAAAGCCAUCGACCCCAACGAACCCGUUGCUUCAUCUUGCGUUUUGGGAUCUGGAAUUCGACAGGGCCCGUGACUCCGAUCUGAAGCGCACACGAUUCGUCAUCUCCUUUGCUGUCUCGCAAACAAUGUGAGGCGGCCUCCGGCUCCGGUGAUGAGCAAGGGUCCUUCAGAACCUGCAAAGCAUGCUCGACGGCAUAGACGAUCAUCUUCUUCACCUGCAGCCAUGAAGAGGUAAAAACAAAACUCAGUGGUAGCUCACAUUUCUUGAUGCAAUAUUUUUGCAGGUAAAAUACAAUGGCUAACGGUAAAAGUGUGGAAAGCAUAACCUUCUCGUCAAGAGUCGUUAGUGUAUUAGCCCAUUGUUUUAUAAGAGAGAUGAUGGUUGGUAUCUGAGCUACCAGGUUAGAUUACUGGGAAGGGAUCCUAUUUGUUAGCACGAUUUGUUUCCUCGUGUUUUGUCUAUAAGUUAGCUAGUGCGGUGCCCAACCUAUAUAUAAAAAAAGCUACCUGAAUUGUUGAGUCAUGAACGCCUGAAUAAUCUAGUUCCACAUAUAUCAUGUUUCUAUGAACUGAAAGUGCUUAUUUGGUUAUAUGCUUCUUUACGGUGGAAUCUACGCACUCAAGAUUCAAAACCUCAACUUAGUAUAUGUAUUCAAAUUUUUAUAAAUUUAUUAUGUAAUAAAAUUAACGGUGCUAAAGCCAGAACAAGUCUAACUCCUUUUUUCUGAAAAAAGAAAAGAGAAAGGAAGGAAAAGAGAAAAAAAUGCCCUUGCGGAAGUUGCCAACGCCAAAGAAAGCCAAGUCGUUUGCCUCAGACAGCAGCCAAGGUUCGUGCUAGAGUUGCUCGACGUCGCCUAUCAGUGGCGGACUCAGUGGGUAGGCCAUAUAGGCCUAGGACUAUCCAAAAUUUGAGCAAUCUUUUCUUUACUAGUUGAUUUCCUUUACUAUCCAUAAUUAUUUGAAAACUCUUAUAGUUAUGUUACCUAAUUGUAUACUGAAUUAUACCAUUUUG